UACGGAGGGUCCAAGCGUUAUCCGGAAUUAUUGGGCGUAAAGAGCUUGUAGGCGGUUUGUCGCGUCUGCUGUGAAAGCCCGGGGCUUAACUCCGGGUGUGCAGUGGGUACGGGCAGACUAGAGUGCAGUAGGGGAGACCGGAAUUCCUGGUGUAGCGGUGGAAUGCGCAGAUAUCAGGAGGAACACCGAUGGCGAAGGCAGGCCUCUGGGCCGUUACUGACACUGAGGAGCGAAAGCAUGGGGAGCGAACAGG
rnacentral:misc_RNA from 1 species